rnacentral:rRNA from 1 species
UACGUAGGGGGCGAGCGUUGUCCGGAUUUAUUGGGCGUAAAGAGCUCGUAGGCGGUUCGGUAAGUCGGGUGUGAAAUCUCCACGCUCAACGUGGAGGGGCCACUCGAUACUGCCGUGACUCGAGUCCGGUAGAGGAGUGUGGAAUUCCCGGUGUAGCGGUGAAAUGCGCAGAUAUCAGGAGGAACACCGAUGGCGAAGGCAGGUCUCUGGGCAUUAACUGACGCUGAGGAGCGAAAGCAUGGGGAGCGAACAGGAUAGAA